UAUCUCUCCGUACGGGGAAGGAUGAGAAGCUUCGACUAAGGUUCGAUUCGAGCGCAGCGAGAAAGCGUUGCCGCAGGCAACGACCCGAAGGGCGAAGCGCGCAGCGCUGAGUCAUCCUUCCCCCACAACCA
rnacentral:sRNA from 1 species